CGCCAACUCAGCCAUUCACGUCUGAAUCUUCCAGUCUACUGCAUUGAUCUAGGUUUCAACUGGGGUGAUGGAGAUAAUAGUUUCACUAGAAGAAAAAGAAACAUUGAAAAAUGCCCGCCAUGAUAUGUUGCAAGUUAAAUCGACGAUAGAUAAUGCGUUAAGUGAUGAUCUAUCAUAUCAUAUUAUGAAAAGAAUACGUAUUGGGAAUACGAAGCUCGACCAUCCAAACAGUAAUAACCGAAAACUUAGGUAUUUCUAUGUCUUAUGCUACUAAAUUAAGAUGGAUAGGUAAAUUAGGAGCUAAAUUCGAAAAACUCGCAAAAUUAUCACUCCCUCUUUACGAAAUUCUCAGAAAACAGAAGAUGAUAACAAACUUGUUCAAACAUCACCCCGACCUAGCUGCCGAGUGGAUCCGUGUUCCAGCACCCAACAGCCCCGCCGACAACCUGUAAUUAUAAUGCGAAUAAAGUAGCCAGCUAAUAAGACCUAUCAGCUCCACUCUUCAUGCCUACAGCAACCUGUAAUUAUAAU